rnacentral:rRNA from 1 species
CCUACGGGAGGCAGCAGUGGGGGAUAUUGCACAAUGGGGGAAACCCUGAUGCAGCGACGCCGCGUGGGUGAAGAAGCGCCUCGGCGCGUAAAGCCCUGUCAGCAGGGAAGAAAAUGACGGUACCUGAAGAAGAAGCCCCGGCUAACUACGUGCCAGCAGCCGCGGUAAUACGUAGGGGGCAAGCGUUAUCCGGAUUUACUGGGUGUAAAGGGGGCGCAGACGGCGAUGCAAGCCAGGAGUGAAAGCCCGGGGCCCAACCCCGGGACUGCUCGUGGAACUGCGUGGCUAGAGUGCAGGAGGGGCAGGCGGAAGUCCUGGUGGAGCGGUGAAAUGCGUAGAUAUCAGGAGGAACACCGGUGGCGAAGGCGGCCUGCUGGACUGCAACUGACGUUGAGGCCCGAAAGCGUGGGGAGCAAACAGGAUUAGAUACCCCUGUAGUC